rnacentral:rRNA from 1 species
CGAACGAUGAACCACUUCGGUGGGGAUUAGUGGCGAACGGGUGAGUAACACGUGGGCAAUCUGCCCUUCACUCUGGGACAAGCCCUGGAAACGGGGUCUAAUACCGGAUAUGACGCGCUCGGGCAUCCGAUGUGCGUGGAAAGCUCCGGCGGUGAAGGAUGAGCCCGCGGCCUAUCAGCUUGUUGGUGAGGUAACGGCUCACCAAGGCGACGACGGGUAGCCGGCCUGAGAGGGCGACCGGCCACACUGGGACUGAGACACGGCCCAGACUCCUACGGGAGGCAGCAGUGGGGAAUAUUGCACAAUGGGCGCAAGCCUGAUGCAGCGACGCCGCGUGAGGGAUGACGGCCUUCGGGUUGUAAACCUCUUUCAGCAGGGAAGAAGCGCAAGUGACGGUACCUGCAGAAGAAGCGCCGGCUAACUACGUGCCAGCAGCCGCGGUAAUACGUAGGGCGCGAGCGUUGUCCGGAAUUAUUGGGCGUAAAGAGCUCGUAGGCGGUCUGUCGCGUCGGAUGUGAAAGCCCGGGGCUUAACCCCGGGUCUGCAUUCGAUACGGGCAGACUAGAGUGUGGUAGGGGAGAUCGGAAUUCCUGGUGUAGCGGUGAAAUGCGCAGAUAUCAGGAGGAACACCGGUGGCGAAGGCGGAUCUCUGGGCCAUUACUGACGCUGAGGAGCGAAAGCGUGGGGAGCGAACAGGAUUAGAUACCCUGGUAGUCCACGCCGUAAACGGUGGGCACUAGGUGUUGGCGACAUUCCACGUCGUCGGUGCCGCAGCUAACGCAUUAAGUGCCCCGCCUGGGGAGUAC